CCCUUAGAUGUUCUGGGCCGCACGCGUGCUACACUGAGUGGAUCAGCGGGUCUGGUUGCGCGAAAGUGUUUCCUAAUCUUUAAAUCCGCUCGUGAUGGGGAUUGACGGUUGCAAUUUUCCGUCAUGAACGAGGAAUACCUUGUAAGCGCGGGUCAUCAUCCCGCGCUGAAUACGUCCCUGCCCUUUGUACACACCGCCCGUCGCUCCUACCGAUUGAGUGGUCCGGUGAGGCUUUGGGAUCUGAGCGGAAAGAGCGUUUCGCUGUUUCUGCUCGGAAAACUCAGUCGAACCUUAUCAUUUAGAGGAAGGAGAAGUCGUAACA
rnacentral:rRNA from 1 species